CAGAGCGUAGCGCAGCUUGGUAGCGCACUAGCUGGGGGUCUAGUCAUCGCAGUUUUAAACCCUGUCGCUCCGA
rnacentral:tRNA from 1 species